rnacentral:tRNA from 1 species
GGGCCCGUAGCGCAGUUGGGAGCGCGUCUCAAUCGCACUGAGAAGGUCGCGGGUUCAAGUCCCGCCGGGUCCA